AGCGAACGCUGGCGGCAGGCUUAACACAUGCAAGUCGAGCGCCCCGCAAGGGGAGCGGCAGACGGGAUAGUAACACGUGGGAACGUACCCUUCAGUUCGGAACAACCCAGGGAAACUUGGGCUAAUACCGAAUACGUCCGUAAGGAGAAAGAUUUAUCGCUGAAGGAUCGGCCCGCGUCUGAUUAGCUAGUUGGUGAGGUAACGGCUCACCAAGGCGACGAUCAGUAGCUGGUCUGAGAGGAUGAUCAGCAUCACUGGGACUGAGACACAGCCCAGACUCCUACGGGAGGCAGCAGUGGGGAAUAUUGGACAAUGGGCGCAAGCCUGAUCCAGCCAUGCCGCGUGGAUGAUGAAGGCCUUAGGGUUGUAAAGUCCUUUUAACGGGGAAGAUAAUGACGGUACCCGUAGAAUAAGCCCCGGCUAACUUCGUGCCAGCCGCCGCGGUAA
rnacentral:rRNA from 1 species